rnacentral:lncRNA from 1 species
UCCGGCACUCCCCAGUGAGAUGAACCCAGCACUCCCCAGUGAGAUGAACCCAGUACCUCAGUUUAAAAUGCAGAAAUCACCGGUCUUCUCUGUCGCUCACGCUGGGAGUUGGAGACUGGAGCUGCUCCUAUUAGGCCAUCUUACCCUCUUUGGUGUUUCAACCUCUGUAUUAGGCAGGCAGGUCUAUGUGCCUAAAUCUCAGGAGUAAGACUUUUUUAAUGUUACUGCCCCUUCCCUGGUGGCAGGAAACCUCCAAUUUCUCCUGAUUUCAGGGCUUCACGCACAGGUUGGGCUCUUUACAUUUUCCUUGAUUGCAGCUAAACUCUCCCAUGUAUUGUUGGAAGGAUGAGUGGGAGGGACAAGACUCUUGGCCUUCCUUGAUGGUAGCAGACUUCUCCUUUGUCUCAGUGAAUGAUCCUGGGCAUGAGUACGUUUUCUUCCUCUCUACAGCAGCUGAGAAUUUGUGCCUAGUGUCUAUGUAGGGUGUCGGGGGCAAAUUUUUUAUGCCUUCCCUAGUAGUGGCCAAAUUUGCCUAGACAGAGGACACAAGGAUUUCCUACCCUGCUCAUUAGUGAAUGGCUUUUUCCUUGUUUUAAAGUAGACCUACACAGCAGGGGUAGGUCUUUCUUCACUCCUAGUACCCAUUGGUUUUUGCUUCUUAGCCGUGUAUCUGUGAAGGUCAGGACUAGAUCAUGUUUUGUUUCUGCCGCUAGCAGCAAUUCAGCACUACCUUGUACUCAUAGAAGUCCCAGCAUGCAAUGGGUUUCUCAAAGCAUUGCUUAUACCCACAAAUCUUGUAAGAAUCUACACAGUUAUCCUACCAAGAGAGACUCCCUCAGGUCUCCCAUGUCCUCAGUCUUUCACAUGAACAUGUGGCGGAGGUCUGUGUAGAAGCAAUGGUGAGUGACUAUAGACUCUUCUUGGGGGUGAAGUUCCAAGAUUGUAGCCUGUCAUACUAACGUAUAGGAGGCAUACUCAUUUCCUAUUGCUGCUGCAACAAAUUUCCAUAACACACUGC